GACGAACGCUGGCGGCGUGCUUAACACAUGCAAGUCGAACGGCAAGGCCCUGCUUUUGUGGGGUUCUCGAUUGGCGAACGGGUGAGUAACACGUGAGUAACCUGCCCUUGACUUUGGGAUAACUUCAGGAAACUGGGGCUAAUACCGGAUAGGAGCUCCUGCUGCAUGGUGGGGGUUGGAAAGUUUCGGCGGUUGGGGAUGGACUCGCGGCUUAUCAGCUUGUUGGUGGGGUAGUGGCUUACCAAGGCUUUGACGGGUAGCCGGCCUGGGAGGGUGACCGGCGACAUUGGGACUGAGAGACGGACCAGACGCCUACGGGAGGCAGCAGUGGGGAAUAUUGCACAAUGGGCGGAAGCCUGAGGCAGCAACGCCGCGUGCGGGAUGACGGCCUGCGGGUUGUAAACCGCUGUCGCCUGUGACGAAGCGUGAGUGACGGUAAUGGGUAAAGAAGCACCGGCUAACUACGUG
rnacentral:rRNA from 1 species